AGUCAAAGAUGGAUCAUUCCAGACCUGAGGAUGACAGAUACAAAGCAUCUGAUGUUGAUACGACUGAACGUUUGUAUGAGAAUGUCAUAAUGAAUUAUUCCAGAGCUCAUGAUGACAGUCUUAAUGACUAUGAUGUUGAGUCGACUGAACCUGUGUAUGAGAAUGUAAUGCGUGACAGGCCAUAGUGUUUGGGACGUGUGGCAAAACAUUUUACAGCCUUUUUCUGUUUAUCUGUGGGUCCAGCCUGAAUGAUUGACAGUGUCUUAAUUUACAGAAAUUAAUUUAGAAACUGGUUCUAUCACAGAGUGACUUACAAAUGAUAAGCCUUACAAGCUAAAAUUUAAUUUUACUGUAUUUUAAAGCAUAAAAUUAUUUUAUAAAUUAGAAUGAAAACUAUCAUGUAAGAAUCUCAUUUGAUGUUAACUUUACCAUAUUCUGCCUAUUCUGUGUUUUUAAAGAUUGUAUAUUGCAUUUUUAUUAAAGUGUAU